UGGAGCAUGUGGUUAAUUCGACGCAACGCGAAGAACCUUACCAGGGCUUGACAUCCCCUGACCGUCUAUGAAAGUAGGCUUUCUACCUUCGGGUAGACAGGGAGACAGGUGGUGCAUGGUUGUCGUCAGCUCGUGUCGUGAGAUGUUGGGUUAAGUCCCGCAACGAGCGCAACCCUUACGGUUAGUUGCCAGCGGGUUAUGCCGGGCACUCUAGCUGAACUGCCGUUGACAAACGGAGGAAGGUGGGGAUGACGUCAAAUCAUCAUGCCCUUUAUGUCCUGGGCUACACACGUGCUACAAUGGCCUGUACAGAGGGAAGCGAAAGGGUGACCUGGAGCGAAUCCCAAAAAGCAGGUCUCAGUUCGGAUUGCAGGCUGCAACCCGCCUGCAUGAAGUCGGAAUCGCUAGUAAUCGCAGGUCAGCAUACUGUGGUGAAUACGUUCCCGGGCCUU
rnacentral:rRNA from 1 species